rnacentral:lncRNA from 1 species
GUGUUUUAUUACAUAUUUUAGGUUUUUUGGAGCCAAACAAUUACCAAGGUACAAAGGAAAAUUCCAAAUUAACUACUUUUGCUCUUCAGCAGCAUACAAAGCCUUGAUCUCCUAUAUAUAUAUAUAUUAAUUAUGGGAUGUGUUUUAUUACAUAUUUUAGGUUUUUUGGAGCCAAACAAUUACCAAGGUACAAAGGAAAAUUCCAAAUUAACUACUUUUGUGUGUGUGUAUAUAUAUAUAUAUAUUAAUUAUGGAAUAUGUUUUAUUACAUAUUUUAGGUUUUUUGGAGCCAAACAAUUACCAAGGUACAAAGGAAAAUUCCAAAUUAACUACUUUUGCUCUUCAGCAGCAUACAAAGCCUUGAUCUCCUCGACAUCAUCAUAGCUACCAAGAAAUAUUGGUGAGCGCUCAUGAAUCUUCUUAGGGACCAAGUCAAGUGCCUGGAAAACAAGAUUUUGUUUAAUCACCUUCAAUUUUGAACUGUAAAUCAAACCGUGCUAGACCAAUAUGGCUCAGUUUUGAGGUGGCCUGGCACAGCACCUAUUCUAAGGUUAAAAUUAUCAUGGUCCACUGCGCCGGAUUUUUAUUUAUUUAUUUAUUUUCAUUUUUUGAACAAGUUUCCAUUUCUUUUCUUUCUUAAAUACAUGGCCACACAGGUCACCCAUCACCUGUCAGAUAGUGCUUUUCCCGCACAUUUUAGCACAUCUAGCUCGAAUUCUAUAGUUUGACGUACUAAUCAAAUUUUUAACUGAAUCAGAUUUCAAAAAGUC